rnacentral:tRNA from 1 species
GUGGAUGUGGUGAAGCGGUUAACACACCGGAUUGUGGCUCCGGCAUUCGAGGGUUCAAUCCCCUUCAUCCACC